UUAAUGAAGGCAGGUAUUACGGGAGGAGUUCUCUAUUUUUGUAGACAAAGGAAGAAGAUCAAAAUCAUUUUUUAUCGAAACUCUGCACCAAAGCAGGUGGCCUUUCCCAGAGAUAAACAGGCUACGUUUUCAAGAGAUAAGUGGGGGGCAAGGGAGUUGUUCAAUAGGAAAAGCAAAUUGACCAUCAUGGCAGAUUGAGUUCUUUCUCUUUACAAGGAACAAAUAACGAACAAAGAGAGUUGGUUUUUCUUUCAGAAAAAGCAAGGAAAAGACCUCCAUGAAAGCUGAUUGUUGAUAGCUCUUCUCUGCCAAAAUAAAUAGCUUCCUUCUUUUAUGCCAUUAAAAAGAAAAGAUCUUUUAAAGAUUUGCCGCCCAUUUAAAAAAAGAAAAAGAAAAAAAAAGAAAGAUUAAAAAUCCCUACUCCAGCAUUUUCUAUAAAUAUGAGAGGAGGUGAACAGAUCGAAGGAUAACCAAAAAAUCAAUCAAGACAAAAACUCUCAAAAUCACAAUUA
rnacentral:lncRNA from 1 species